ensembl:snRNA U1 U1 spliceosomal RNA
UCACUUAACUGGCAGGGGAGAUACCGUGAUCAGGAAGGUGGUUUUCCCAGGGUGAGGUUUAUCCAUUGCACGAUAAAUGUGCUCACUUUGUGUCUUUGUGUUGCCUUUUGGUCAUUCUCACAAUACUUCAAAACUUUUUUAUU